ACUCCCAACGGCGAGUCACCGACAUACAAAACUCCCUGCACACGAAACCCGCUCCCCCCGGCUCUCUCCUAGGGUUUUCACACAGCCACCUUCCUAUCAAAACCACCUCAUCAGCGGCUGCACCAGAGCCACCAACACCUGCCUCUACGCGGUUUUCUACGGCGACAGGUCCUUCACCAUUGGACUGUACGCCACCGAAACCCUAACCCCCUCCGACGUCUUCCCAGGCUUCGCCUUCGGCUGCGGCCUGAACAACACCGGCCUCUUCCGCGGCGCAGCCGGCUUGCUCGGCCUUGGCCGCGGCCCCCCCUCCCUCGUCGCGCAAACCGCUUCGAAAUAUGGAAGCUACUUCUCCUACUGUCUGCGGAUCAAAAAAAAAAAAAAAAACUUCUCUUACUGUCUCCCUACAUUAUCAGGAACUCUGGUAUUUGGAAAAGGCGGUGGAACGACAAACUCCUCUUGUAGAAAGGAAGCCUCAAAAUCAGAUCUCUCGCUCUAUUACAAGGUCUCUCUCUCGAUUGACCGAGUGUGUGUGUUGUAUGUGUCUAUCUUUCGUCUAACGAACAUUCUACAGGAAUUUCGUUGCGCAACUACAGACUAAUAACAAACACAUGUUAGAAAUUUCUCCACAACUGGUCACAUCCUCUCUCUCUAGGAAACGGAAAGGCAGAAAACCCUUUCAGAUCAGAUCGCGCCGCCCCCGAGGGGGGAGGCGGCCUCCCUCCCUCCUCCCCCCGGGCCUCCCUUUCAAUUCCAUUUCCCCUUCUCCUUUUCUUCUGAGUCUUUACCUUCCCUCCUGCCGUUUUCUCACCUCUUUCCGACGCCCGUCGCCGCUUGUUUCACCGUCUCCCCGGUAGAUUCUUCCUUCGUUGAACCCGAUAUUUAGCUUAACGGCCAGGGGUUUUCGGCUGCAGGUGGUGGCUCGUUUGGGUGUCUUUGGGUCCCGGCCGGUUCUUUUCCUUGGAGAACUGGUUUUGUGCUUAACGGCGAGGGAUCCACGCAGCUUCUGGUUUUCAGUCCCCUCUCCGGCCGUUCUGGCCUGGUCUCCGUUCAAUGGCCGUGUUUUGGGGGUGGGGCGAGCGUGCAUUGCCUUUUUUGGCUUUGGUGGCUGCUGAUGGAGUGUGGGUUUUGUUUGGGCUGUUGGGUGGAUGCUUGGGUGUGCGGUGGUGGCCGAGGUUGGUCUGGUUGCUGUUCCCAGGGGUUUUAGGGGCGUCGACGGGUGUCUUGGGGUGGAGUUUUCAGUUGAUUAGGUUUAGGGCUUUGUCUUUAUUUGCAGAACUCGAUGGAUUGAAGCAGUUUUGGGGCUUUUGGGCACAGUUUGCAGGCGAUUUGGGGUUUUGAGGUGGUGUUGAUGGUGGUUGAGGGCGGCGACGGUGAUGUUUUGGUAGCUAGGUGACGGACUGUAGCAGUGCAGGGCAGUAGCAGAGCAACGGAGACGAUGAUGGCGGUACCCCGGGCGGUGGGUUCACGGCAUGGCAGCAGCAGCUGUUUCAGUGGUGGCAGCGAGUUCAGAGGUGCUCGGCGGCAACAUUGGGUGGUGAGGCCUGGUUGGGUUGCGAGGUGUUUGCGGCUAAAGUCUCUCGGGGUGUUUUUGGUAUCGGUGACAUACGGCGGGUUCACGGCGAUCCUCGUGGCGGAGGCGGCGGCAUUUCUGAUUCAAUCAGGUGUAGGGUUUUGGUUGGCAGUGGGGUUGGUUUUGGGUUUUGUUGGUCUUCGACCGAUUAGGUGUCGGGUAGCUGGGAAGAUUAAGUAAUUUUAAUUUUCAUUUGCCCUUGCCUUUUUUAUCUUUGUAAUUUUCGAAUUCAGAGAUUAAUAAAAUCUUUUUGCUGAUUAAAAAAAAAAAAAACUACAGGCUAAUAAUCCACAGGCAGCAGAAAAAAAGGAUAAGAAACCACUUGCGUAUGUUACUAAGGGCGUCGCUGCUGCAGCUGGUGUUAACAGAGUGGUGGCAAGGGCACAUGAUAAAAAACCCAAGAAGGUUAUUGUCAUAAGCCCUGAUGAGGAACUGAAAUCUGAAGAGUCAGUGCAAGAAACUCUGGAAACAGAUCGUCAAGGAAAACCCUGACAUUGAUUCUCACUGCACGAAGCAAGAUGUGGAUAACGAAUUGGCAGUCUUGGAGUAUGUUUAGGACAUGUACAAGUUCUACAAGCAAGCUGAUCUGGAGGGGUUGGAGAAUUGUUACAAUGGAGAUGAUGAAGAUUGUAGAAAUAGAAUAAUGGUAGCGUGGGCUUAUUUCCCUUUACACUCAGCAUCAUAAGUCCUAAAAUCAACUAAAACAGACACGGUUGGUUUAGGAUACUCAUAGAAGAGCAUUGAUUACGGUGGGACUUAAAGCUGGAAUUUAUCUUUUCAAACUCACCUUCUUUCAUAGUGUUUCUUAGGUGGAGUGAUCUUUGGGUUUGGGUAUGAACAUGAAUGAUGCACAUGCAACCAACAUUGACAUAUUCAAAGAAUUUACUAAUUUAAGCCGGGUAAUUGUGAUUUUUUACAGUGAUAUCUUUGAAUAUGUCAAUGUUGGUUGUAUAUACGUGAUAUCUUGCUUUUGUGCUUAUAUAUACGUAGGACUAUAGUAGAAACAUGUUGUCUUAGAUUUUGUUGUAUAUAACAUACGGGAGGAUAGUUUAUGUAAUAUUCUCUCUCCUUGUAUCUCUUCCCCUUUUUUGCCAGAUGUGGCUGCUGGCGUUUUGGUAAUGUCUCUUUUUGAACAGAUCUUUGCUGACUUUUCUUUUGGAUAACAAUGGCAGAAUGAUACGAAAGAUAGUGAUUCCGACAAAGAUAUCUUUGCUUCCAGAACAAUUGGAGGGAUUGUGGGGCCGCUUGACCCUAGCAAUUGAAAUUGCCCAAUACUUCUCUUAAGGUUUUGGAUGUUUUUGAUAGUCUUGUUGAGUCUCUUGACCCUGCAAAAUGCACGAAUGACACACAGUUUGCUAAGUUUUUUUUACGGUUUCCACAAUGGCAUAAUGAAAAUGGAUAACCAAAAGUUCCCAUAUUAGCUUUUGAUUAUUCAUUUAAGAGAUUGCUAAGAUUAGCAAUGAGCAAUUUAAAGGUCCACAAUGGCAUAAUCAAAUUCGGAUAACCAAAACUUGCCACAUCACUUUUUUAAACUACAAAAAAUUAAAACUGUGAACAUAGAAAAUAGUUUUCCUAAAAAAUUUUUGAAACUAAUAAAAACUAUUAUUAAAAAUAGAAAAUAGUUUUUGAAAUUUUUUUCGAAGAGGAAAAGUUUUCUUAUUUCGAAGAGGAAAUUAUGAGUGCCUAAUGUGCUUUUAGUGGUGAAGUUUUAGUGGGUGGCAACUAAAAAAGGGUUUCAUGCUUUGACUGGGUAUUGUCGGCCGGUUGCAAAUGGGGUUUGGGCAAGCAUAACAUAUAGCACUUUUGGUGAUUAUACACCAUGUGGCAUUGACUCUCUUGUGGUUGGUAUUUCUCAUUUGGUGCUUCUAGGCUUGUGUUUCUAUCAGAUUUGGCUAACUAAAAAGGAUCCUAAAGUCCGGAGUAUCGCUUGAAAUCUCAAAUAACUACAGUUACUUGUUGGGUUUGUUGGCUGGUGCAGAACCUUUGUUUAGAUAAGUUAUGGGGAUUUCAAUAUUUAAUUUGGAUAGACAGAGUGGUCUUCCUCUCUUUGAGAUAUUUUCAUUGAUCAUUGAGGCUCUUGCCUGGUGCUCCAUGUUGGUUAUGAUUGGUGUAGAAACAAGAAUCUAUAUCAAAGAGUUCCGCUGGUAUAUCUGGUUUGGAGUAGCUUAUGUCUUGGUAGGGGAAGCUGUGAUGCUCAAUCUCAUCCUUCCUAUGACAGAUUUCUACACUAGGACAUUAGUCAUGGAUUGAAGGCGUUCUCUUUUUGAAACUAAAAAAUUGUGGGUUAAGGAGGGAGUCUAGAGGGAUGUUGAAUCAAAAGGUUACAGAGGAGCAAAGCCGAGAAGGGAAUGGUUGGCCGAUUGGGUAUCAAGAAACAAUGACGCUGUGCAGAGCUGGCCAAUCUACGUGGCCGGCGUCUCUCUACUGGUGGUUCAUCAAUUGCGAAGUUUCGGGCAACGCUGAUGCUGGUAGGUUUCAUUUGAUGGGUUCUGAUCCAAAACUGCUGUGUUUUUGUGUUGGACUGCAUUGAUAACAUAGACACGAAGAUAGGACACAGUAUUUGUUCGCAGUGGCAGCUGUAUUUCAAAAAUCCUUAAGGCUCACCCAUGAGAGUCGCAAGAAGUUCCCGUCAUGAAAGAUAACAAAUUUGAUGACAACAGAUGCAAAUAUGCCAACAACUUCAUGGUUUGUGGUCAGCUCCAUUUCGAAUCACCAUUGCUAUGGUCCUUCUUUACUAGUAACUAUGUGUGACGUCACUUCUUGGUUCACUAAUGUUAGUUCUAAUGUUCCCUAUACAGGUAACAGUGCUUUCCUUACAACUUCGUAUGGGUUCUAUCUUAGUGAUGUAUUUUGCAUGGGUCAAUGGUUUUUUUUAAAGACUGUUGUCUCGGAUUUUAGUCCUUGUUUCUUUGGAAAAGUUCUAGAGUCCAUAUACUGAAAUCUGAACAAAAUCUUUCCCAACGGUAGUGGUUGACCAUGUUUAGCUUUUUGGCAUUUUACUCCUUGGGGAUUGUGGUCAUUGGCUGUAGUCUCACAUGGACUCUUAUUUUUCCCAAUGUAUUCAUGUCCACUGGCUAUGACGGGUAAGUUUGCUCAAGUCCCUCAAGCUAGGGUUGUUUGGCCUUGAAGUCUGACUGCCGAUGUUCAAUUGACAUAGUUAUCGAUGGAAUCACUUGCAGGAUCCUCCUAUUGGGGUUGCCUUCUCGGAACCUUACUCCAGUGAUUAAAAGUAAAAAUUUUGACUUUCUACCACGGAGAAGGGAUCAUGUUCCUUACUGGAAUCGAACCUUUCAAGCAAAUGAUCCCUAGGAAACAUGUCUGCCUUAUCCCCAUUGGUAACCGUACUUUGGAUAAUUUGCAAUGGAUAGUAUCGGAAAACCGACUUUUGUGAUUUACCUUUCAAAAGUGGACAUGCAUUUUGAGUCAUCCCAAAAUUUGAAAUAUGGACAAACAAAAUGAGACGGAGAGUAUUUACUAGAGAAGAGUCAGACGCUCAAGUAAACCAAAACGCCAAUCCCCAAUAAUAUAUCAAAUUUGCAGGACAAGUCAAGAGAGUUGUCAAUUGAGUAUGAUUUAAUGUUCUUCCUACCAGUAUGAUUUUUGGCGAUAUAAACUUGAUGAGCCCUUAAUUGGUUGUUUAAGUUUUUCUGUGUGUGAUUCUUUACUUAAGAAGAUAUUCUGGAGAAGAAAGGAUCUUGUCUAGACCUCUGACUUUAGGCUUCCUUCAGUCAUGCUUUUGAAGGGUGAUGGUUUACAGUACAGUGGGAACUUUGUGGUGAAUGUUUUAGAUAGGCAUCACAAGCUGCGGGAGGUGUCUGGGCAACAUUGUGCUUUACUUUGUUUAGUGCUCAUGAUUUUUGUGACUUUUUCUUCAAUUUUUUUUCCUGUUGUUUUGCACAAACUCUUAAUUUAUCUUGUGGGAACAGACAUUUAUCAUUAGCAAAAUGAGAAGACUACCAAAGGAAGGACUGCAAAGUACUGAUAAGAGAGUUGGGCUAAUGAAUGAAAUUUUGGCUGUCAUGGACACUGUGAUGUAUACUGCCAUCUUUGCUUGGAUUGUCUGGAUCUUAUAUACAUGAAUGUUAGGAGUGAUUAUCUGAUUUAAUGCUAAACAAAUUCAAAUGUUGUGUGGGAGGAGAGUUUCCGAUCCAAAGUUCGCGGCAUGAGAAAGGUUGAACUCUCAUGGUUUCAGAAAGCACAACUAUUGCCAGCAGUAUGACAUAAUCAUAAUCUUGGAAACCAUCUGUUGGCAUUAUUGCUUUCAGAGACGCCACCUUAACCAUCUCUUGUUAGAAUUGCAAAAAGAGAUACUAGAACCCAAGACAUCUUGCAACCUGAGCUAUGAUACCAUGUUAGGUUACCAGUUGCCCUAAAUGCUUAUGCUGUUACAUGGUUAGGUCAUGCUAACACCACCACGGACGGCUAUAAUUAGGUAAGGAUGAUGCCGAGAUAGCUAAACCCCAAUGCACAUUUCACAUGCUUACAACAAUUUUUUUUACACGUUUCAAACAUUGGCAUACACUAUGAACAAACGAUGGGGUGGUCAUUAGCAUUUUACUUAGAUUAAUGAGGGGAAUGAACAAAUGUGAGGUCCUUAUGAUGUGAACACAAUUUUAGUUUCACUUUAUGGGUUUUCAUCUUUAAGUCCCAAUAAAUUCUAUCUCACAUACUGCAACAUAAUAUUGGUAGGAUGCAGCUACUGUUUGGGGUGUCUCUUCUCGUUUACAUUCCUCAUUUGGAUCCAUAUCGUGGGUACAUACCUUUGCGGAAUGAGUCUCUGGAUGACACAGAGUAUGAAGCACUUUUGGGGGUGAGAGCAUAUCUGUCCAUAGAGGCACGGCAACCUAUUUUCCAGGAUUUGUUUCGGCUGGAUGACCCCACCCAUGCAGUAAGGCUAUAAAAGGCCUAUCAUUGAGAAGGAUGUCUGGAAGCUAGACGCAUGGGAUCAGACUGAGACAUUAAUUAAAAAUUUUGCAAUGUGUUGAUUUUUUUUGCGCAUGCAAAGUUGCACGCUCAUUGCUCAAUAUAUCGUUGUCCUAUGGAACGUGUAUUGAUUUUAGGCUUUUGUAGGUUCCAAAUUUGUUGGGCUGAGGAAUAUAAACCCUGACUUUUACGUGCCUUAAAUGGUGGCCUAGGAGGAAGGUUCUUGUUUGGAGGCAUUUUCAAAGUAAUUACUCUGUUCUCCUAACUUUUAUUUAUUUAUUUAUUUAUUUUGAAAACGCAUUCCUGGAGAACACUUUCGUAUCCUUAGACAACAUCUUGUGCCACAAAUAUUGGCCAAGUUGAUUGGCCUAGGUAAUAGAUGUCCUUUGUAAUCUUUCGGGUUUAGGUUUGCAUAACUGUAUGUUACUUGCUGUUGUGGAAACUUAUUGCUAUGUUCAUGAGGAUUCAAUCAAUUGUUUCAAGCUUUGUAUC